AGCAUAUCAAUAAGCGGAGGAAAAGAAACCAACAGGGAUUGCCUCAGUAACGGCGAGUGAAGCGGCAACAGCUCAAAUUUGAAAUCUGGCGGCCUCUGGGCCGUCCGAGUUGUAAUUUGAAGAGGAUGCUUUUGGCGAGGCGCCUUCCGAGUGCCCUGGAACGGGACGCCACAGAGGGUGAGAGCCCCGUAUGGUUGGACGCCGAGCCUCUGUAAAGCUCCUUCGACGAGUCGAGUAGUUUGGGAAUGCUGCUCAAAAUGGGAGGUAAACCCCUUCUAAAGCUAAAUACUGGCCAGAGACCGAUAGCGCACAAGUAGAGUGAUCGAAAGAUGAAAAGCACUUUGAAAAGAGAGUUAAAUAGCACGUGAAAUUGUUGAAAGGGAAGCGCUUGCGACCAGACUUGUGCCCGUCGAAUCAGCCGCCGCUCGCCGGCGGCGCACUUCGGCGGGCUCAGGCCAGCAUCAGUUCGCUGCAGGGGGAGAAAGGCGGCGGGAAUGUGGCUCUUCGGAGUGUUAUAGCCCGCCGCGCAAUACCCCUCGGCGGACUGAGGACCGCGCAUCUGCAAGGAUGCUGGCGUAAUGGUCGUCAGCGACCCGUCUUGAAACACGGACCAAGGAGUCGUCCUAAUAUGCGAGUGUUCGGGUGUAAAACCCCUGCGCGUAAUGAAAGUGAACGGAGGUGAGAGCUUCGGCGCAUCAUCGACCGAUCCUGAUGUUCUCGGAUGGAUUUGAGUAAGAGCAUAUUGGGCCGGACCCGAAAGAAGGUGAACUAUGCCUGUAUAGGGUAAAGCCAGAGGAAACUCUGGUGGAGGCUCGCAGCGGUUCUGACGUGCAAAUCGAUCGUCAAAUAUGGGCAUGGGGGCGAAAGACUAAUCGAACCUUCUAGUAGCUGGUUUCCGCCGAA
rnacentral:rRNA from 1 species